GGUCGAUUGAAAGUGUAUUGGGGCCGAAGUAAUCGGAUAUUUAAUUUGAGUUGGUUAUAAUAAGAUAAAAGGGUGAAAUCUAGUAAUCAAGAGUAUAGCUAAUUUGAUAGGGUGGUCUUGAAUCUUUAAAAUCUGGGGGGUAAAAUAGGAUUAGAUACCCUGUUAUUCUCAGUAGAAACAUGGACCUUUGAGUAGUAAACAGAUAUAAUCUCGAAACUCAAAGGAUUUGGCGGUAGCUAAGUCUGGUUAGAGGAACUUGUGCAGUAAACGAUAAUCCCCGAGUAUCUGGCCUUACCUCGUAAUUAAUCAGUCUGUAUACCGCCAUUAUUAGAUAAUCUUUCAAGAGAAUUAUUAUAACUGAAUUUAGUUCAAGUAUAUUAGGUCAAGGUGCAGCUUAUGGUAAGGUUGUCGUGAGUUACAUUAAAACGAGUUUUGAGCGAAUGAGUCUUGGAAGAAGGACUUUGAAGGUGGAUUUAAUUGUAAUAGUCGUAGAUUAUACGUCUUUGGUAAGAGCUCUUAGGUAUGUACACAUCGCCCGUCGUUCUCACUUU
rnacentral:rRNA from 1 species